UCGACGCCGCCAAGUGGUGAAUGGAUCUGAUUUAAGUUUCUUAUGAAAUGAAGUUACUUUUUGAAGAGGUUCCCAGCCCGGCCCUGGACGCGACGAGGGAGGCUGUCUUGAACUUUUCCAAGUUCAGCUGCUGCUGAAGCUCUUCCGUUUUCCCCAGGGAGGGACAGAGAACUCGACUUUUGGCCAGAGCCGCUGCAGAAGGUCUCUCCUCCGGAUCGGGGUGGAUCAUGUUCUGUUGAGACAGACGCCCGCCACUCCGAAUAACAUGCAGUUUUCCAAGUGUGGCAUGAUCCUUCCCCUCCAUAACUUGGUGCUCUCUGCGGGAGUAAAUGAUUUGUCAGCAGAACUUCUGCUAGCAUAUCAAGCUGUCAGGUUUGAAAUGGGUGGAUGAAAUAUACAUGCCACGCCAUGUUUUCUUGCCUAUGUACUCUUGCUCAGAACCACAUUCUCUGAGCCCAUGUGCCCCCUUAUUUCCAUAUAUUAAAACUAUACCAACUUUCAUUGCCCUUCAGAUGCUUCCUUCACCAUCAUUUCUUUCCUGAUCACCCCACUGAGAAGCAGUCCACCCUGAGAACUCUGGCCAUCUUGAAGCACCUAUCACAUAGUGUCCAUAGGCACAUCUCCUCUCCCAGAGACUGCUUUGUGCUCUCAAAAAAUAAAUGAAUCAUUGAUUGCUUACUAGGACCAUUGAAGAACACACAGAUGGCCACAUGAACAUAUUAAAAAGUAGUUUGUCUGUAAUUCAGACAAGAAGCUUAGUGUUUCCUGUAGAUGUGGUGCCCAUACUCAGCAGGUCCAAAAGAGACCUGCUGGCAUCGCCUGGGCUGCAGUCAGAAGCACAGAUGUUACUUUGAUGAUCUGAAGUACCUCAAGCUGAGCCAGCAGAAAGCAGAGCUGAUUCCAGUCCUGAGAUUCACACAUCACGGCACUGGUCUACCAGAGCAGAUCAUUGAAGCUAUGUUCAGCCCAUGAAACAAAUCUCUCCUCCACACAAAAGGCCUGCGUCCUCGUUCUCCGUCACUGAACUGGAGGAACACAGGCCUCUGAGACCUGCUCCUUCCUCCCCGACAAGGAAAAGUUUAAUUUCUGCUUUGGUUCUUGGUUAUCACUGUUAUCCCCCAUCUCAGCCAGAGAGUUUUACAACAUAGGCAAGAAGGCCUGUCGGAAGGGAACAGGAGAGAGCAGCCGACGUCAGGAGGAGAAGAGCAGGUAAGCAGGCAACGUCAGCCUGGCUUUUCUCCUGCCAGCUAGCAGCUAGGUGGAGACACACCCUGGUUUUCUCACUUAAGUAGCGCAUGUCCGGAAGAUCCCAGCUUUCCCUUAUUUCCAUUCCGAUUAAAGAAAGCUCCAGUAACUCUUGGGCCAUUAAAUCCAAUUUAUGUAUAGAACUCUUCUGGAUGUCCCGCAGUCUCCCUGAACCCACGUGCUACAAACUACUAGUGAGACAGCUGGAUUCGUUAAUUUAGUGUGGCUUUAAAAAUACACAUUAGCCACGCUGGGAACAGGCUCAUUAUUGGAGAGAAAUUUUUUUCACCCUUUUACACCUACCACUCAGAAACCUCGCCCUCUCCUCGCCUCCACUUCCCACCCCCACAGCCAGUGGCUAGCAGCAGUCUUUGGAAUUCAGCAUCACCUGCAUAUCGUAAUGAUCCUUCAAGAGCACCGGACACGUCUCGGCUGGAGUGCAUCGCCCUAAAAGAGACACACCUGAGACCUUCGCCAGGCACACUUUUCCUAUUUCAGGCACCCUCCGCCCACCCCCAGGAGAAACCACAUGAGAGGCGAUCCAUGGAAAAGGAAAAUGAUGUACCCAAGCCCCUCGUGCCCUCAGGGGCAACUCUGGAGGCACCGGAUGUGACGAACUAUUUACAGAACAAACGUGGCCCUAAAGCCAGAGAGGCACUGAGGGGAUUUGUGCACAAUGGGCAAGUCACGUUCUCAGAAGUAAGAUGUGCAGAGAGGAAGCCAGCUUUGCAUCUCAGGGCUGAGUUCCCCAAACUGUGUGCCUGGGGGAAGCUCUCCUCCUGCAGACAUAGCUGAGUGAUGAGAAAGCUCCCAGACUCCGAGUUCCACUCUGACCAAACCUCAGUUCUGAGGCCUUCGAAACACUGAUGGGAAGAACAGAAGCAGGAAAAUCUAAUUCAAAUCGGAUUUGCAAGAGGUAGAAGCUUGGAUUUACCUUGAGGUACACUGUUCCUCUGAAAAAGUAAGGCCAAGGGCAUGGAACAAGAGAUAUUUGUUUGGGAGUCUGUCGCUCCAGGGAGGCACAUGCUAGCCUGAUUGUCCCCUUGGUCAGGAGGGAGACAUAUUAAAAAAUACUUGAACAAGCCAAAGUGAAGCUCGACCACAUUAUUUAUUGAAGACCGAAUUAAGACUGAGUCAUUCCAGACAGUAAAAAAACUGAUGUUGAAUGAUGGUAUAUUUGAUGGGACUGCCCCAUUUGGAACCAUUGGGAGGUCUGGUUUCCCAAGUAAGAAAUGGACAUUUAAAAUUUUUUGGGGGGUGUUUUUUGGGGGGAGGGAGGUAAUUAGUUUUAUUUAUUUUAUUUUAUUUUUAGAGGAGGUGCUGGGGAUUGAACCCAGGACCUCGUGCGUGGGAAGCAUGCACUCUACCACGUGAGCUAUCUGUUCCCCAAGAAGUGGACAUUUUCACUGUGAGGCUUUCUGGGAAGCUGGCAGAUUCCAGGACAGGAGGUGAAGACUUAAAGUGGGCUUAGGCUGAAAGCACCUCUCUGGGCCUCAGCCUGUUGGGCCUGGACUCUGAAGACCAGGGACGAACUUGAGGGAGCUCCAGGGUGAUGAAGAAGACAAGUUGGCCUUUUUCACAGGAAUGGGCCCUGUAGAGGCUGCAACACAGCAGUCGGGGUUCUCAGGGUCCCUGAAGGAACGAGAGGACUCAGCAGGGAUACCUCUAAGGUCCCUGCCUACCUAGCCCCACUGUCUUCCUUCCUGGUCCUUAUCUUGCUCAGUCUCAUCACACCGGAUGUGUUUUUCAACCCCACAGGGGGAAGUUUGCAAUAACUUAGAGAAAAGCAGAACACGUUCAUCAUCAAUGUGUAUUAUCCAGCUCCCUGGACAGAUCCGCCAGCAGCCGUGACAGACUGAGGAUUGGUGCAGCUGCCCUGGGCGUCCACCCAUCCCAGCAGUGGUCUCACGUGCUCCUGACUCCCAGCAGCUCUCUUCCCGUGACAAGGAUGGUCAGCAAAGCCAGGAGCCGUGAAGGAGACCUUCUCUUUAUCUCCUUUCCCCGCCUAGAGAGUACACAGAAGCAGCACCUGUCAGUCCCAGUGAAUCUAGUGAUAACUAUGUCAAUCAUUAACAGUAAUUACUAACAAUUCUAUAUGUAACACGUAGUGUUGCCAGCAGAAUUCCAAGGAAAGAUUGUGGUCCAGGUAAGAUAAAGCCUAGAGGUCAUUUUAAAGUCUAUGAGUCUAGCAUUAAUAGUUUUCUUCUUCUUGUUUUGCUUUUUCUUGUGGAAAUGUUCAAACACACCAAAAGUAGAGAAAAGAGUAAUGAGUCCUGAUGUACGAAUAACCAAGCCUCAAAAAUGUGGGGCAGUUUUACAACCUUGUUUCACUUCUAUCUGCAACUUUCUCGAAGGUGGUGGGUGCUGGAGAAUUUUAAAGCAGAUCACUGAUAACAUGCCCUUUCACCCAUCGAUACUUUGGUGCCAUUACUAGAAAUCCGUACAGUAGUUUAUUAACUCGAAAUCUACUAUGAAACUAUGUAAUGAAUAAAUCA